rfam:Ferroplasma sp. Type II genomic scaffold AMDT4_FER2S00029, whole genome shotgun sequence.
UACUGGACUAGACCGGGGAGCUAGGCACUCCCUGUGACCCGUGCCGAAAUGCGGGGGCGACUGUCUGGCGAGGGCAACCAGGCCUUUGGCAGUCUCCAUGGAAUCGUAGAGUCUCUGUCCUUUUGGAUCGGGGGUUUGCAUAUAUAACCUCAAAGGAUGAUAUAUAUGCAAUUUGUCGGGAAAACCCCACUAGGCCCGGAAGGGAACACUGGUAUUCCGAACCAUCGAUGCUGAGAGGGUGCGGGGAGGAGAGGAAGUGGAGGACGCUACCAAAACACCUGGACCGAACCAGAUGUGUCCAGUA